UACGUAGGGUGCAGGCGUUAAUCGGAAUUACUGGGCGUAAAGCGUGCGCAGGCGGUUUCUUAAGUCAGAUGUGAAAGCCCCGGGCUUAACCUGGGAACUGCGUUUGAAACUGGGAGACUUGAGUGUGGCAGAGGGGGGUGGAAUUCCACGUGUAGCAGUGAAAUGCGUAGAUAUGUGGAGGAACACCGAUGGCGAAGGCAGCCCCCUGGGUUAACACUGACGCUCAGACGCGAAAGCAUGGGGAGCGAUCCGG
rnacentral:rRNA from 1 species